rnacentral:lncRNA from 1 species
GGUUGUUUCUAAUCUCCUGCUUUUCAGAUGGCCUCCUCCUUGCAAGGACCAAGCUGAACUUGGUCCUAACUUGUUCUAAUGGACUGGAUUGAACGUAAAUGACCUGUGGGAGAGGUAUCAGACUGUAAUGUUUCUAGUACAAAAGUAGGGAGUGACAUAUCUUGUCAUAUCACUGAGCAGGAACUCACAGACUUCUCAGGGCUCUUGGGCUAUUACUUUGUCUGGAGUUUUAAACUGUGCAUCCUGCCUCAAUCUUUGACUCCUGGAAAUCUUAUGAGAAGUUCAAAGUGUACUUCAAAUUGUUAGUGUUUCCAUAUGUAGUUCAGUCUCCAUAGCUGUUAAUGACCCUUUUUCAAGUAUGAAGACAAUUAAUAGUGAUUUUAUUGUUUGAAACCCCCUUGCCACAGCUCUGGUUACCACAGAUAGUUAAAUGCAGGCUUAGCUUCUGUCAUCAAGUCUCUAUCACUAAUGUGUGCUGUUAAGAGGAAGGAGUUGAUGCAAGUGUAUGCAUCAAACCAGUUUGCAGAAGGAAAAUAUUAGUCCAUACGCGUCUAAUUCUAAUACCACAAGUUGAAAUAAGACACAGCAUGGGAUAAGGCAGAAAAAGGGUCCUUUCUGAGAAAUGUACAUAUGUUGUGAACAUGGGUCCCUUUUGCAGACCCUCUGUGUCGUUGCUCCUGCACCAUAGACUGAUCUGUGCAAGGCUGAUUAGAACUUUCAGGAUGUAGGAAAUGUCUGUUAUGUUCAACAAGCAGCUACAGGACUAUCUCAGGGCAGACAUGCUUCAGUGUGGUCUAGCUAGGACAGCUGCAUUUCAUUUCUUAAUUCCUUUGUGCUCUCACUCUGCAGCUGCUUCAUGAUGGACUCCAUUUCUAGACCAGUUACUGAGUUUUGCCUUGAUCUCUACAAAAAGCUCAACAGAAGUGCAGAGGACACAAAUAUUGUCUUCUCUCCAAUGAGCAUCUCUGUUGCCCUGGCCCUGAUCCAUCUUGGUGCAAAAAACAACACUGCUGCUCAGAUAGAAAAAGUGCUCCAUGUCAGGAAAGCUGG